GACGAACGCUGGCGGCGUGCCUAAUACAUGCAAGUCGAGCGCAGGAAAUCGACGGAACCCUUCGGGGGGAAGUCGACGGAAUGAGCGGCGGACGGGUGAGUAACACGUAAAGAACCUGCCCUCAGGUCUGGGAUAACCACGAGAAAUCGGGGCUAAUACCGGAUGGGUCAUCGGACCGCAUGGUCCGAGGAUGAAAGGCGCUCCGGCGUCGCCUGGGGAUGGCUUUGCGGUGCAUUAGCUAGUUGGUGGGGUAAUGGCCCACCAAGGCGACGAUGCAUAGCCGACCUGAGAGGGUGAUCGGCCACACUGGGACUGAGACACGGCCCAGACUCCUACGGGAGGCAGCAGUAGGGAAUCUUCCACAAUGGACGAAAGUCUGAUGGAGCAACGCCGCGUGAACGAUGAAGGCCUUCGGGUCGUAAAGUUCUGUUGUAAGGGAAGAACAAGUGCCGCAGGCAAUGGCGGCACCUUGACGGUACCUUGCGAGAAAGCCACGGCUAACUACGUGCCAGCCGCCGCAGUAAGAC
rnacentral:rRNA from 1 species